CAUCUUCCAAGGGGAAGAAAACUGUCGACCAGUGAGCGCGUCUCGAGGCGAGACGACUGGUUCUAUAACGGACUUCAGUCCGACACUGCAGUGUGGGGUUCCCCGGUCCGGCCUAAUGGGAGGCGGCGUGGUUAACCCUGAGUUUAUCCUGAUCAAGAGGUGCACGGAGCCAUUGACAAGGGGUUUUUUAUGUGAGAUACCCAGGGUCACCACACGAGAAUCUUAGUAGCCAACACCAAGGAAGCCAGUAUUGUGAAUUUUAACAGUCUUAAAACAUCUUGGUGGUCCCGUAGCUAGUUGCGGCCAUGAUUAGCUUGGGAAUUGUUUGAGGCCAGACUGUAUUUUGAGCGGUGCUCAAUGUGUUGGAAAUGUUACCUACCUGUAUUAUUUUUGAAUCAUUGUGUUAUGUGUUAACUUGUUGGAUACUUGGAACUACUGUUAUAUGUUAUUAUUAUUGUGGUUACUACUAUUUGGAAUA